AGCAGCCGCGGUAAUUCCAGCUCCAAUAGCGUAUAUUAAAGUUGUUGCAGUUAAAAAGCUCGUAGUUGAAUUUCGGGGUCAGUAGAUUGGUCAUGCCACUGGUAUGUACUGGUCUCACUGAUUCCUCCUUCCUGAUGAGCCGUAAUGCCAUUAAUUUGGUGUUGCGAGGAAUCUGGACUGUUACUUUGAAAAAUUAGAGUGUUUAAAGACAGGCUAACGACUUGAAUACAUUAGCAUGGAAUAAUGAAAUAGGACGUUCGAUCUUAUUUUGUUUGGUUUCUUAAGAUUGACGUAAUGAGUUAAUAGGGAGUAGUUGGGGGUCGAUUAGUAUUCAAUUGUCAGAGGUGAAAUUACUUGGUAUUUAUUGAAGACUAACUACUGCGAAAGCAUUUGCCAAGGAUGUUUUCAUUAAUCAAGAACGAAAGUUAGGGGGAAUCGAAGACGAUCAGAUACCGUCGUAGUCUUAACCAUAAACUAUGCCGACUAGGGAUCGGAUGAUAGUUAAUUUUUUUAAAUGACU
rnacentral:rRNA from 1 species